GGGACACGUGGUAUCCUGUCUGAAUAUGGGGGGACCAUCCUCCAAGGCUAAAUACUCCUGACUGACCGAUAGUGAACCAGUACCGUGAGGGAAAGGCGAAAAGAACCCCGGCGAGGGGAGUGAAAAAGAACCUGAAACCGUGUACGUACAAGCAGUGGGAGCACCUUCGGGUGUGACUGCGUACCUUUUGUAUAAUGGGUCAGCGACUUAUAUUCUGUAGCAAGGUUAACCGUAUAGGGGAGCCGCAGGGAAACCGAGUCUUAACUGGGCGUUAAGUUGCAGGGUAUAGACCCGAAACCCGGUGAUCUAGCCAUGGGCAGGUUGAAGGUUGGGUAACACUAACUGGAGGACCGAACCGACUAAUGUUGAAAAAUUAGCGGAUGACUUGUGGCUGGGGGUGAAAGGCCAAUCAAACCGGGAGAUAGCUGGUUCUCCCCGAAAGCUAUUUAGGUAGCGCCUCGUGAAUUCAUCUUCGGGGGUAGAGCACUGUUUCGGCUAGGGGGUCAUCCCGACUUACCAACCCGAUGCAAACUACGAAUACCGAAGAAUGUUAUCACGGGAGACACACGGCGGGUGCUAACGUCCGUCGUGAAGAGGGAAACAACCCAGACCGCCAGCUAAGGUCCCAAAGUCAUGGUUAAGUGGGAAACGAUGUGGGAAGGCACAGACAGCCAGGAUGUUGGCUUAGAAGCAGCCAUCAUUUAAAGAAAGCGUAAUAGCUCACUGGUCGAGUCGGCCUGCGCGGAAGAUGUAACGGGGCUAAACCAUGCACCGAAGCUGCGGCAGCGACACUAUGUGUUGUUGGGUAGGGGAGCGUUCUGUAAGCCUGCGAAGGUGUGCUGUGAGGCAUGCUGGAGGUAUCAGAAGUGCGAAUGCUGACAUAAGUAACGAUAAAGCGGGUGAAAAGCCCGCUCGCCGGAAGACCAAGGGUUCCUGUCCAACGUUAAUCGGGGCAGGGUGAGUCGACCCCUAAGGCGAGGCCGAAAGGCGUAGUCGAUGGGAAACAGGUUAAUAUUCCUGUACUUGGUGUUACUGCGAAGGGGGGACGGAGAAGGCUAUGUUAGCCGGGCGACGGUUGUCCCGGUUUAAGCAUGUAGGCUGGUUGUCCAGGCAAAUCCGGAUAAUCAAGGCUGAGGUGUGAUGACGAGGCACUACGGUGCUGAAGUAACAAAUGCCCUGCUUCCAGGAAAAGCCUCUAAGCAUCAGGUAACAUUAAAUCGUACCCCAAACCGACACAGGUGGUCAGGUAGAGAAUACCAAGGCGCUUGAGAGAACUCGGGUGAAGGAACUAGGCAAAAUGGUGCCGUAACUUCGGGAGAAGGCACGCUGGUGUGUAGGUGAAGUCCCUGCGGAUGGAGCUGAGACCAGUCGAAGAUACCAGCUGGCUGCAACUGUUUAUUAAAAACACAGCACUGUGCAAACACGAAAGUGGACGUAUACGGUGUGACGCCUGCCCGGUGCCGGAAGGUUAAUUGAUGGGGUUAUCCGUAAGGAGAAGCUCUUGAUCGAAGCCCCGGUAAACGGCGGCCGUAACUAUAACGGUCCUAAGGUAGCGAAAUUCCUUGUCGGGUAAGUUCCGACCUGCACGAAUGGCGUAAUGAUGGCCAGGCUGUCUCCACCCGAGACUCAGUGAAAUUGAACUCGCUGUGAAGAUGCAGUGUACCCGCGGCAAGACGGAAAGACCCCGUGAACCUUUACUAUAGCUUGACACUGAACAUUGAGCCUUGAUGUGUAGGAUAGGUGGGAGGCUUUGAAGCGUGGACGCCAGUCUGCGUGGAGCCAACCUUGAAAUACCACCCUUUAAUGUUUGAUGUUCUAACGUUGGCCCCUGACCGGGGUUGCGGACAGUGUCUGGUGGGUAGUUUGACUGGGGCGGUCUCCUCCCAAAGCGUAACGGAGGAGCACGAAGGUUAGCUAAUCCUGGUCGGACAUCAGGAGGUUAGUGCAAUGGCAUAAGCUAGCUUGACUGCGAGCGUGACGGCGCGAGCAGGUGCGAAAGCAGGUCAUAGUGAUCCGGUGGUUCUGAAUGGAAGGGCCAUCGCUCAACGGAUAAAAGGUACUCCGGGGAUAACAGGCUGAUACCGCCCAAGAGUUCAUAUCGACGGCGGUGUUUGGCACCUCGAUGUCGGCUCAUCACAUCCUGGGGCUGAAGUAGGUCCCAAGGGUAUGGCUGUUCGCCAUUUAAAGUGGUACGCGAGCUGGGUUUAGAACGUCGUGAGACAGUUCGGUCCCUAUCUGCCGUGGGCGCUGGAGAAUUGAGGGGGGCUGCUCCUAGUACGAGAGGACCGGAGUGGACGCAUCACUGGUGUUCGGGUUGUCAUGCCAAUGGCACUGCCCGGUAGCUAAAUGCGGAAGAGAUAAGUGCUGAAAGCAUCUAAGCACGAAACUUGCCCCGAGAUGAGUUCUCCCUGAGACUU
rnacentral:rRNA from 1 species